rnacentral:rRNA from 1 species
GACGUAGGAGGCGAGCGUUGUCCGGAUUCAUUGGGCGUAAAGGGUGCGUAGGCGGCGCGGUAAGUCGGAUGUGAAAUCUCGGAGCUUAACUUCGAAACUGCAUUCGAUACUGCCGUGCUUGAGGACUGGAGAGGAGACUGGAAUUUACGGUGUAGCGGUGAAAUGCGUAGAUAUCGUAAGGAAGACCAGUGGCGAAGGCGGGUCUCUGGACAGUUCCUGACGCUGAGGCACGAAGGUCAGGGGAGCAAACGGG